CUUCGUCGAUAGAGUUGUGCCAAAAACGACGUCGUAGCAAAAGAGGUGGAAUCGUCGUCACAGAUCGCUGCGCGCGUUCAGAGUUCAUACCAAAAUCCCCUCCCUCUACCUUCCAAAUCUUCAUUUCUUUACGAAGCGAUUCGAUUCCUAAGCUAUGGCUCUCAAUCUCCGCCAAAAGCAGACUGAGAGUAUUAUCCGGAUGUUGAAUCUGAACCAGCCUGUUACCGCGGCGGGUACGGCGAACGAAGAGGUUUACAAGAUGUUGAUCUACGACAGGUUCUGCCAAAACAUCCUUUCUCCUUUGAUUCAUGUUAAGGACCUGAGAAAACAUGGCGUUACUCUUUACUUCCUUGUUGAUAAGGACCGUAAGCCUGUGCACGACGUUCCUGCUGUCUACUUCCUUCAAGCAACUGCCAACAAUGUCCACCGGAUCGUUGCUGAUGCUUCCCGUUCUCUGUACGAUAACUUCUACCUCAACUUCGCGUCCUCCGUCCCUCGGCCGCUGCUCGAGGAGCUCGCAUCUGGGACGUUGAAAUCAGAGUCGAUUCAACGAAUUGCAAAGGUGCAUGAUCAGUAUUUGGAAUUUGUGACUCUUGAAGAUAAUUUGUUUUCGUUGGCUCAGAAGUCUAGCUAUGUCCAGUUGAAUGAUCCCUCGGCUGGGGAUCGUGAGAUUGAAGAAAUUGUAGAGAAGAUAGUUGGUGGGCUGUUCUGUGUCUUGGCUACACUUGGAGUGGUGCCGAUCAUUAGAUGCCCACGAGGUGGGCCUGCUGAGAUGGUUGCCAUGGCAUUGGAUCAAAGGUUAAGGGAUCACUUGUUAUCUAAGAACAAUUUGUUCGCUGAAGGAGGGGGGUUUAUGAGCUCCUUUCAGCGCCCAGUUCUGUGUAUAUUUGAUCGAAAUUUCGAGUUGUCUGUUGGAAUWCAACAUGAUUUUAGAUAUCGACCUUUGGUGCAUGACAUUCUUGGGCUCAAACUGAAUAGGUUGAGUGUUCAAGGUGAGAAGGGUGGAAUGAAGUCUUAUGAGUUGGAUAGGUCAGAUCCGUUUUGGUUGGCAAAUKGGUCUUUGGAAUUCCCGGAAGUUGCAGUCGAGAUUGAGACACAAUUGAAUAAAUACAAGAAGGAUGUUGAUGAGGUCAAUAGGAAGACUGGUGGAAGUUCUGAGGCUGAGUUUGAUGGUACAGAUAUGAUAGGGAACACUAAGCAUUUGAUGAAGGCAGUGAACUCAUUGCCGGAGUUGACUGAGCGGAAGCAAAUCAUUGACAAGCACAUGAAUAUUGCUACUGUGUUGCUAGGUGAGAUCAAGGAGAGGUCUCUCGAUUCAUAUGCGAAAAAGGAAAAUGACAUAAUGUCUAGAGGGGGCAUCCAUCGGAAUGAGCUCUUGGGUGUGCUUCGAGGUAAAGGCACCAAGAUGGACAAGCUUCGGUUUGCCAUCAUGUACUUGAUCUCUUCUGAAAAUAUUAAUCAAUCAGAAAUUGRAGCAGUAGAAGAGUUACUCAAGGAGUUGGAAGUCGACACCAGUGCGUUUCAAUACGUAAAGAAGAUAAAAUCAUUGAACGCAUCAUUUGCAUCAACAAAUCCUGCUAGCAGAGGCAACAUUGUCGAUUGGGCUGAGAAGCUAUAUGGACAAUCAAUUGGUGCUGUGACUGCUGGUGUAAAGAAUCUAUUGUCUAGUGAUAGGCAACUUGCACUAACAAGGACUGUGGAGGCUUUGAUGGAGGGUAAACCAAACCCUGAAAUCGAUUCUUAUCUUGUGCUUGAUCCUCGUGCUCAAAGGUCGAGUACUGGAACAAGCAGUAGCCAUUUAAAAGGGCCAUUCAAGGAAGCGAUCGUAUUUAUGAUUGGUGGUGGUAAUUAUGUAGAGUAUGCAAGUCUGCAGGAACUUUCCCUGCGUCAGCAGCCUGCCAAGCAUGUUGUAUAUGGUACAACAGAAAUUCUAACUGGAGAGGAGUUUGUAGAGCAGCUUAUGCUGUUGGGACAGAAGAUGGAAUUGGGAAGUGCUGCUGUAACUUCCUUCCCAAGUAAUUAGUGCAUAUCCUGGUGUAAAGCCUCUUGGAGCUUUAUUUUUUGAUUGAUGAAAUAUAAGUGGUAGAGUUCUAAGUCUCCCUGUCACAUAGAGCACAAUAGUUACUAUUGAUCUAGACUUGAACAUCAUAGAUAUUACAUGAUCCUAAUUUGGUGACCUCUGAGCCUCUUUGGAAUAUUUGGGUAGGUUUUCGAUCAAUUCAGAGCGGAAAUAGAGGAUUUGAUGAGCAAGAUCUGUCUAACAGGACCAAUUUUGCAGGCUGCAACUUGAAGGAAUGAAGUUCUGGACACCUGAAGUCAUCAUUUUGGUAAUUUCAAGGUUGAAGAGAAAAACAGACAAAGCUUUGGUGAAAUGCCAUACUAUUUCUUCAUGAAAACAUCAUCAAGUUCUUAGACUUCACCAUUUCAAAGAGAUUUGACAAUAAGAGUUAUGAAGAAAAUUGGGCUCUUGACAACCAAUGCUUACAUUAAUUUAUUUCUGU